rnacentral:antisense_RNA from 1 species
CACUGACAUCAGCGACUCAUUCUGCGAGCCAGCACCGACGGCGAGGUACGCAUUCAUACCCAGCUCUUUCAUCUGCUGUUCACCAAUGACACGGGUGGUGACAUUUUUGCUGAACGCAUCGGCCAACUGACGUGCCUGCGACGCCAGAUACGCGGCGUUACAAAUAUUUGGCGGCAUGUUGCUGAGAUCUUUUGC